GGUUGAUCCUGCCGGACCUGACUGCUAUCGGAUUGAUACUAAGCCAUGCGAGUCAUUGUAGCAAUACAAGGCAUACGGCUCAGUAACGCGUAGUCAACCUAACCUAUGGACGGGAAUAACCUCGGGAAACUGAGAAUAAUGCCCGAUAGAACAUUAUACCUGGAAUGGUUUAUGUUCCAAAUGAUUUAUCGCCGUAGGAUGGGACUGCGGCCUAUCAGUUUGUUGGUGAGGUAAUGGCCCACCAAGACUAUUACAGGUACGGGCUCUGAGAGGAGUAGCCCGGAGAUGGGUACUGAGACACGGACCCAGGCCCUAUGGGGCGCAGCAGGCGAGAAAACUUUGCAAUGUGCGAAAGCACGACAAGGUUAAUCCGAGUGAUUUCUGCUAAAGAAAUCUUUUGUUAGUCCUAGAAACACUAACGAAUAAGGGGUGGGCAAGUUCUGGUGUCAGCCGCCGCGGUAAAACCAGCACCUCAAGUGGUCAGGAUGAUUAUUGGGCCUAAAGCAUCCGUAGCCGGCUCUGUAAGUUUUCGGUUAAAUCUGUACGCUCAACGUACAGGCUGCCGGGAAUACUGCAUAGCUAGGGAGUGGGAGAAGUAGACGGUACUCGGUAGGAAGUGGUAAAAUGCUUUGAUCUAUCGAUGACCACCUGUGGCGAAGGCGCCACACUAGAACGGAUCCGACGGUCAGGGACGAAGCCUAGGGGCACGAACCGGAUUAGAUACCCGGGUAGUCCUAGGUGUAAACGCUGUGGACUUGGUGUCGGGGAUCCUCUAAGGGUUCUCGGUGCCGCAGCGAAGGUGUUAAGUCCACUGCCUGGGGAGUACGGUCGCAAGGCUGAAACUUAAAGGAAUUGGCGGGGGAGCACUGCAACGGGAGGAGCGUGCGGUUUAAUUGGAUUCAACGCCGGAAAACUCACCAGGGCCGACUGUCAAAUGAAGACCAGCAUAAUGAGCUUGUCGGAUUGUCAGAGAGGUGGUGCAUGGCCGCCGUCAGUUCGUACCGUAAGGCGUUCUGUUAAGUCAGAUAACGAACGAGACCCUCAUCCUCAUUUGCUACUCAGUUCUCGCGAAUUGAGGCACUAUGAGGAGACCGCUGGCGCGAAGUCAGAGGAAGGCGAGGGCAACGGUAGGUCAGUAUGCCCCGAAUGUCCUGGGCUACACGCGCGCUACAAAGGAUGGGACAAUGGGAAGCCACGCCGAGAGGCGGAGCUAUCCCGAAACCCAUUCAUAGUUCGGAUUGAGGGCUGUAAGUCGCCCUCAUGAAGCUGGAUUCCGUAGUAAUCGUGUCUCAAAAUGGCACGGUGAAUAUGCCCCUGCUCCUUGCACACACCGCCCGUCAAGGCG
rnacentral:rRNA from 1 species